GAAAGGCUCUAUGAAGACAGUUAGGUUAUUCACUGAUCUGAUCACUGGGGUAAGCCAGUUCAGGCACCCUCUCCACUAUUGCUAGUGAUCUAAGCUGGGGUCAUCCUUGGGGAUUCCUAGGAACUUCCCUAGCACCCAGUUUCUUCCUAUCCCCAUGAUGUCUCCCUCUAUCAUGGUAUCUCUUUCAUUGCUUUCCCACUCCAUCCCUGUUCCAGCUCAACCAUCCCAUUCCCUUAUGUUCUCAUCCCCCAUCCCCUACCCUCCAUUGCACAUCCCUCAUCCCCAGUUUACUCAUGGAGAUCUCAUCCAUUUCUCCUUCCCAUGACUAUCCAUGUGUCCCUCUUUGGGUCUUCCUUAUUAGCUAGCUUCUCUGGAGCUGUGGGUUGUAGUCUGGUUAUCCUUUGCUUUACAUCUAGUAUCCACUUAUGAGUGAGUACAUACCAUUUUUGUCCUUCUGAGUCUGGGUUACCUCACUCAGGGUGAUAUUUUCUAGUUCCAUCCAUUUGCCUGCAAAUUUCAUGAUGUCAUUGUUUUUUAUUGCUGAGUAGUACUCCAUUGUUUAUAUGUACCACAUUUUAAAAAAUCCAUUCUUCAGUUUAGGGGUAUCUAGAUUGUUUCCAGUUUCUGGCUAUUAUGAAUAAUACUGCUAUGAACAUAGUUGAGCAUGUGUCCUUGUGGUAUGAUGGAGCAUUCCUUGGGUUUAUGCCCAAGAGUGGUAUAGCUGGGUCUUGAGGAAGAUUGAUUCCCAAUUUUCUGAGAAACCACCAUACUGAUUUCCAAAGUGGCUGUACCAGUUGGCACUCCUACCUAGCAGUGGAGGAAUGUUUCCCUUGCUCCACAUCCUCUCUAAUAUAAGCUGUCUUCAGUGUUUUUGAUCUUAGCCAUUCUGACAGGUGUAAGAUGGUAUCUCAGAGUUGUUUUGAUUUGCAUUUCCCUGAUGACUAAGGAUGUUGAGCAAUUCCUUAAAUGUCUUUCAAUGGCUAAAUAUUUAUAGAAAUAUGUCCUCUUGGGUUUUGGAUUAUAUUAUACUUCAAAUUCCCAAUUGCUCAGGGCACAGAGGCUCAUGUGUACAAUCCUAGCACUCAGAAAGCUAAAGCAGGACAAUAACCAUGAGGUUUGAGUCAAGCUUGGGCUACAGAGUGAGACCUUGUCUCAGUGUAAAACAAAACAACAAACCCUUGCCUUAAUCCUUAAUUAAAACUGAAUUUAGCUAAUGACAACGAUAUUCUCACAGAUCUAUAUUGUAACCACAUUUAAAGGAUAAAUAAGUAUUUGUUGCUAUGUAUUUGUUAGAUAAAUAGAAAUAAGUAUCCAAAUUCCUCAAAAUAUAGUUUACUAGGAUUUGAAGUGGGAAAUUAGGAAUCACAUGCAUACGAAUAUAUCCAAGGGGCAAAGUCAAGGACUUCUUUCUAAAUACCUUUAGAAGAAGGAGGAAAACCAUGCUGAUUUCAGAAAGAAUUAAAAAUUGAACAAGCUCUAGAGUUUUCAUCAGGAAAUGAUCUCGUUUUAGAAUCUCCAUUAUUUUUUAAGCUACUUUUGGGGACUGUUUUAGAAAUAGCCUCGGCUUCUGUGGAAUUAUCCUCUAAGUCCAGGACUGACUAACGUCUCUUCUGUGAACACUGGGUCCCUCUCACAAAGUCGGCCCAUUCAAGAUCUUACGUAAUUCCGAGGAAUAUAGGGCAGGACUGCGGUGCAAGAAUGAGAUGAGAGAGACAGAUGUCCUAGGUGGUCCUUCGUGCUUGUCUCCCACAGGGCAGCCUGCUGGACUGCCAGAGUCCGUGCCCAGGACCUCUGAAGACAGCAAGCCAAGGACGCGGAAGUGACUGUCAACAAAAUUCCAGAAGUGCUGUGGAAAGGAGGCCUAGAAAUCUAGGCAUCCAGCCCCUCUCGCUGAAGUUUCUAGGGUAGUAAGCAGGAAGUGGGAUGCUCCUUGCUGGUCCAGCAUGCAGGAUAGAGAAAGCAGGCAACAGGGGAGGCAGGGAAACUCACAGCACAGCUCAUAAGCUCCCACCCUGGGGACUGUAGGCAAUGUUUAGUGAGGAGAGGCAGGAGCUUUCAUGGGCCUCAGCCUGUUUUUAAAGAGCAACUCCUGUGAAAUCCUUCUGCAGGCAUUUUCAGACCCAGCGCGGCUGUCUUGAGGGGCAGGGGAUGUUCCUUUUCUCUUAAGCCUACAACGACUGACAAGGUGUUUUGCACAGAAAAUAAUCUGUAACUUUGUGAAAAAAAACAAAGAACAAAAACAAAACAAGACUAUGCACAAAGGACUCAGGUUUUAUUAGUUUACAAUUUCCACACUUUUGGCGCCCAGAGGGACCCGAGUCUAUUUGCGUUACCUUUCGAUGUCAUGCAUAUCGAUGUCAUGUCAUGCAGAUAUGUCACGCAUAUCCAGGCAUACCAUGAAAGACUCAUCAGAAGAGGGGAGUCAUGAACUUCCAACAGCCAUGAGGGAGUAUUUCUGUUUUUAUCUGCAAAUCGAUACUAUUGUCUGAUUCUGCCAUAAAAUAUCCAGUCAAAACUAUUCCUACCCUGUUCUUAGAUCAGCAGCAUCUGUAAGGUUUGAUUGAACAGACUGCAUCUACCCAGGCACCUGCUCUACCUUGUUCCCACACAUGGAUCUUUCCCUGCAUCCCAAAUCUCCAACCCCAUGUUCUCUGAAGCAGAGGAUUUUCCAGUGUGGCACUAUGGACAUUUGGGGCACAGAAAGAGGAGCUAUGCACUGUCCAGUGUAUUGUAAGGUGUUUUGGGACAAGCCUGGCCACUUUCCACCUGAUGUCAAGAACUGUUGCUCACAGUCAUGAUAAUCAAUUGUGUUUUCAAAUGUUGCCCUGCUCGAGAUAACUGCAUUAGUACGUUCCUUCUGCAGGCCCGGACUGCACCCUUGAUCCAUGGUCUAUCUUUGCAUAGACAGUGCUUGAUUCUUGCCUGUGCUGUACUUUGAGAAAGUCUGGAACAACCACGCAGACAUGGUAGGUUUGUCCAGUAAAGAAUUUAACAACUUCCUUUCCUAGUCUGCAGCCACUGUGCUUUUCUGUGAUGUGUGGAGUUUCUCUGAUUGAGGUUGCUCACACCGAGGACAAGAAGAGCUCCAUAGAGAUAGAGACUAUCAAAGAAAGUGGAGCAUCCCUUCUCAUGGGUCUCCUUUCUUUUCUGUUAGUGACAAAGUGUUUCUUAAGAAGGCUGAGCUACAGUCCUCAGUCAACGAGAGGGAACUUUGCAUCUCGGAAUCAAAAUGCUGGUCUUCAGGCUGCCUCACUUUUUCCCUGAUGGUAAAUCAGUUCCCUCCUAGAGGAUCCUAGGGAUAGAUUUAGUAUAAGCAAAACAACAGGAACUGCCCCUCCUACAUACCCCCAAUGUGAUAGAUUGCAAAUGUGUCACACACCAGAUAAGGACUGUGUUGCUUUGUCAAAGCAGUGUUGUCUUCAGCCAUCCUCAACAAACUGCCAUUCCUUUUCUAGCUAACUCCUUCAGUGAGAACAUCAAGUUCAUAAGCCCAUGCAACUAGAGAAGAGGGUGUGUGGGAACAGGAAAAGAGUGGGAGAAGCAUUUUGUAAUUUAUUAAAAUAAGAGUAACAGCACCUCUCUUUUUGAUACAAAAACAAAAGGCAAAACAUAGAUACAGAUUUAAAUCCUUGCCUGCAUCUUCUGGACCAGUUCCCAGCAGUAGCAAUGCACUGUGGGGAGUCUUUAACUUCAGUGUUUAAACUCAAAUCCACAGAGCUGAUCUAGGUGAGCAGGUAUGCAGACAAGGAAAAAAAAAAACAUCUCAGCCGCAGUAUCUUUCUCUUCCUCUCUCCUUAAUGUCUUCCUUGCAUGCUGAAUCGGAGCUUCACUGUUCACAGAGAACUUUCUGGGGCCAUUCCAGGUGAGUUUAGUGAAUAAGCGGUAGGACAGAGAAACACCCACUGCUCCAGCGAAGGGGAAAGGAAAUCUUCUUUGUAAGACAGCUCGAUCUGUUUGCAUAGCUCAGUGCUUCUCCUGGGAAAGGGCUUCUAGCAGGGAGGGUUACAGAGAAGCCGUCAAGGGGUCAGGAAGACUGUGCCCAGAGGGCACCUCAUGCAGCUGUUUGAUGGUGCCACAUCCAAAGAAGGUAGUCUGAACUGAACUGUCACUAGCUCGGGUUCCCCUUGGAUCUUACCUUGUGGCUGUUCCGAUGUGAGGGGAGAUAUUAGAUUCUUAUUGGAGAACUGGAAGCCGUGAUAUACCUCUGAAAUUUGACAGAUGUUAACAGAUUGAAUAGCAGCUGCCUUUAACUUUCUGGAAAAGAAGACCAUUUCUUUCACAUCAAGUAUUCUAAAUAUUAAUGCCAUGGAGUCAUCCCACACUGCAUGGGAUUUAUAGCCCCUUGGAAUAAAAAGCACACAUCAUCUUGAAUCUGUUUCCAUACUUUUUAUAAGAUUCUCCAGGGCAUCCAUAAUGGAUGACAGGUUAAGAAUCACCUCUUUAGAAGGAAUCUGGUUUUUGUCUGUGUCUGGGGUUGGGGGAAAGAUUGUGUGUGUGUGUAUAUGAGUUAAUGGUUUGAAUUUUUUAAGAUGAAGAGUUUAAUUUUUGUUUCCCUAGGGGAUAUUUUUUUUUCUAACAUUGGGCCAAUUUAGGGUGGAAGAUCUCCAGAGACUUAAUCCUUUACUGUACUACAUCUUGCAGAAAGUUGUUUUGUGGGAAUUAAAAGGUAUCAUCCCACAAAAGAUGAUGCUGAACUGAGAAAGGACUUCUAGGGGAGAAAAUGAGAGAAAGUUAAGUACUCGGGGGUGUGGAGUCAAACUGUACGUCUCUUCAAAUACAUCUGGGGCAGUUGAUUGCCUUCCGGUUUGGUGUUAUGGUUACUGCUCAACUUGUGCUUCCUGGGAGAGGAAUGUGCAUGGAAAAUGAUGCCCAGGAGCAAGGCCUGAAGAGCCGAAGUGUCUUAGUUGCUCAGGGACCUUUCCCUGCUGGCCCUAAUAUAUUGUCCUCAUAUUUUUUGCUCCUCUUCCUUGAUUUAUUUUUCAUUUCCUAACAUACCACUAUCUUCCUCAUUCUAUAUUUCACUUAUUCCCGUGCAACCUAGUGGAGUUUUGCCUUCGCUAGAACAUAGGUUCUGUGAAAACAGUAACGUUUUUCUUUUUUGUCUUGUGAUCAAGCUAUACCGUACACAGAAUAAUGUCCAGCCUAUUGCAAACACUCUGUAAACAGUCUUUGAAUGUGACAGCUGAACUGCAUGGACAACUUAAUGGGGUUUAUAAUCACCUGGGAGACACACCUGUGGACAUGUCUAUGAAGGUGUUUCUGGGGAGACUUAACUGAAAAGGGGAGCCCCUUGAAUGUUGGUAUUGCUGACAUAGGGACAUGGAUCCCAGUCUAAGAAAGAAACAAAGACAGAAACCAGGUGAACAUCAGCGUUCACCUCCCCCUCUGCUCUUGGGCCACAGUAGCAACAUAAGCAGCCGCUUCACCUCGUGCCACCCUUCCGGCUGUGCCAUGAUGGACUCUGUUCUCACACCAAAAUGUGAACCAAAAUGAACUCUUCUUCUGUCAAGUACUUUGUUACAGCAAUGACGUAAGUAGCUAAUACACUGAGCAACAGCAAGAGAUUCAGGCAUAAUAUUUUCUUUUAAUAGUGCCAUGUGACCUCCCGCCCUAGUUCCACUUUUGUUAGAAUAUUGUAUUUAUUAUAGUUGCUCUAAUAAAAUACUCCGAUUCAAAGGAAGUUAAAGGAGGAAGGUGUUUAUUUGUCUCAGAAUUCCAGCUUACAGUUCAUGACUGUAGGGAAGUCACAGUGGCGGGAUUUUGAAGGAGCAUGUCACAGCACAUCCAUAGUAAAGAGCCAAGAGAAACAAAGGUGUCCAUGUUGACUUUCUGGUAUGCUCAGACAGCUUUCUUCACUCUUCAGCAGUUCAGGGUUCAGCUCAUUAAAUGGUGUUGUCCACAUCUAGAGUGGGUCUUCCUACCUCAAUUACCAACCAAACAAUCCUGCCCAUCCCCCUCAAAGACCACACAGGUCAACCUGACCGAGAUAAUUCCUCACUAAGACUCCCUUCUCCAGGGACACUGGUUGUGUCAAGUUAACAGUUAAAACGAACCAGCACAGCUGCCAAUCCUAUGAUGCAUUUCUCACACAAACUAGUCAGGCAGGCUGGCACAAGGGGUCCUAAAGCCUUUGGCCUUGCAUCUAUCAAAGCACUUGGCACCACCAUGCCAAGUGCUUUAUAUCUGAUGUUCUUUAUAUCAGAUGUUCUUCCCAUGCUAAGAUUUUGGAAGAAUGACUAUGUGUUUAAUGUGAAUGAUGAGACAGGGCAUAUGGCAAAAGUUUAAUGAAAUCACAAUGUACUCUAAGGGCAAGUACUGAGGGACAUAUGUGGACAUCCAACCUCAGGAUAAGAAAUUUCUCCACAAAAAUGAGCACAUCCCCAUUUGAAGUGCUCAGAGGAAUCCCCUGGAGGGUGGCUAUGCAGGAUGGAGAAGAAGCAAUGGUCUCUGAAGAAACCUCUCAGAGAAGAAUUAGGUAAGAUAAGAGCCUUGGAUCAGGCUCAGAGGGAAGUGCUGACAAGGGGCAGAAUGAGACUAUAAAGUGGGACAGGAGCCAGGGAGAGGUGGCAUUGAAAACAUUCAGUGGAUCUAAACCACUGUGAACUCAAUUUCUGAAUUAAGGCAAGCAACUUAGGGGAAGAACCUUAAGAAAAAUGGGCAUGAUGCUGGAUUGACUCUACAACAGCUGUGGGUUCCCAUAGUGUGUCAACAUUUCACACGGGAGCUCGUAUACUUCAUCCUUCUCGUUGACAAAGCUAUCAUUCCCCCGCCCAACUGUAUGAUGUCUAGAAUUCUCUGCUUUGGCGUGAUCAAAGAGACAGGGGACCUAGGAAGGUUAAUUUUUCAGGUUCCAAUCUUAUCCUUUUCAGACCUCGAGACUGGAUAGAACAAGAACACAAGCCAGGGCACUCUUAACCACCUUCUCUCCAGCCUUUCAGUCUUCCAAAACUGAUUUAUUUUAGCCAAAAUUUCAUGGUGAUUUUGUUGUAGAUCAACCCACGAUCAGCAUAUCCACUCUCCCCUACUCUUCUUAUCGUCAUUAUUUAUAUCUUUACAAAUGUCAUUUCCUUUAGAAAUAUGAAACUGUCCAUCACUUUCGUCUAUAAAAUUGUCAUCUGUACUCUAAAAAACUAACACUUCUUAUUCCACAGUCUUAGAAAGAAAAUGUCCACCUACCAAGAGCUGAUAGAGUAUUAAAAAUAAAAAGCUAAGCACGUCAAUCAAGAAGUUUCUGGCCCAAUACAGAUUCUGAGAAACCUAAGUAUGUCUUCACAGAACAAAACGCUGUGGUGGUUCACCUUCUACAAUGAUGAUGGAAUGUCUCGUGAAAACAAUAAGGAAGAAUUAUGAAAUGCCUCUGCUGGGAAUGUGCAUGAGAAGCACACACCAAAGACAAGGAAAGGCCUCUCCUCUACAGGUGGAGCAUCCUUGAUGAAUAUGUAUCCUUUCCUAAUCACCUCAAAAAGCUUACUUUAUUAUACAAUCAUAGAAUAAACUUAAUGUUACUGUCAAAGUCUCCUUAAUUUCUGCCUCAUGUCUAUGAAAAACUCACUAAUAAAACUGAAAAGCAUACCUUGGAAUAUCUCCUACAUAUUAGCUUUAGCUAAGAGCCCUUAUCCCAUAAGUUAUUUGCCUCGGAUACACACUCCCAUAGCAGAGAAUUGGCAUCACUGCAGCUUCAUGCUCUGUUCAUCACCUACAGGAACAUUUCCUGCUCACUUAGGUGCACACAAAAUGUCCGGAGAGAGUUCUCACUGAAGUUGGAAACACCUCAUAAUGGGGAGAAUGGAGCACUCAGUCUCUAACCUAUUGGCCUGCUGCCUUUGGUUGGUUCUUUGUUCUAAUUAUUUGACUCUUCUGGGUUGUUCCUCAUUCAGAAGAAGCCCACUAAGUAUGUGCACAUUUGAAAUGUGCAGAACUGACCUCAGAGGCUGACCUUAUGAAGGUUCUUGGGUGGUUUUGUUUUGCUCACAGUACUUAAAAAAAGAUAAGAAAAUAACCAACCAAACAAACAAACGAAACUAACGUGACUAGAUUCCAUACAUAAAAUCAAUUUUCCUGUUUCAGCGAAGAUUUAUUUUUUUAUUGUUUCAAGAACUUUUGAAAAAUGAGCCCAGGGAGAAAGUGCUGACAAUUUCAACUUCAUUGGUCCAAAAUAUUGUUUUCUCAAUUUCGAAACCUUGCUGAGUUUAUCUAGGAAAUAGAGGAUUCAAGCAGUUGUUACAGAAUAAUUACAGAUUUGCCCUUCUAGGCUAGAUAAUUGCCUAUGCAAUACCCUUUGUGAGCAGACGCUCUUCUAUGCAAUAACAGCGAAAUAAGCCAUGCACAUUUUGGAAAUCACAGCAUGAGAUUGGCCGGUGUCUGCAGAACUCCUUACGACAAUAUUCUGUCAGACUGGAAAUCACACAAUGUGCAGGAACAACGGGAUUCUUACACUAUUUAUUGCUGAAGAGGGUUGCUCCAAGUUGAGUAGGCAGGACAAAGACUUGAAAGAUGGGACAGCUUCUACAUGGAUAUAUUUAUGGCUAAGCUAUAAAUAUUUGGGAAGCCACAUGGAGAACUCUCAACCUUAGGGAUGGCUACAAGAAAGGGGUUAUUUUAAACAAAGAUUGCCACCUGCUUGCAAACUGCAAAGAUGGGCAACAAAGUAUAAAUCUGUGAAAGGAAUGAUUGCUGCCUGGCCUUGAGAAACUCUCGCAGUGGGACAGAACAAAGGUUGUUCUCGUACUGGUCUCUGCAGCUAGCUGCAGACUCUUCUGUUUACUGUUGCUCCCAAAUCCCAGUAAGAAAUAUAGUUUACAUUAUAGUCAAUACAUACAUAUAUAGAUAAAACUUUGUAUGAACUGAAAUAGAGGUUUAAUAGAUUGAUACUUGUUUCUUAUAGAGAGCAUAUGCCUUGUGCAUACUCUGUUUCCCCUGCUAUGAAAACUCAUAAAAAUACAGGCAACUAGGUCUAUAAUAAAAUCUGUAAAUUAUAGAUAAAAUUGAAGAAAUAUUAACCUAUAGAGGUGGAUCUAUGGAUAUCAUAUAUCUAAUGAUACUAUCUAUUUAAAUCGGUGUUAAUCGUGACUCGCCAAUGAGCUGUGAUCACAGUUUGCACAAUCAUAAGAAGCUAUGACAAUACUUCCAACAAGAUGAGAACAUUCUCAAGAAGCAUUGGUGUCUCUCACUGUCGUCAGGGGCAUCUGGUACUCUGCCCACAUUUGCUCAACACCAAUGCCCACAGUUUGCACUGAGUUAAUUCACACUUAUUACUCUGAGUGUUCUGACAACUUUCUCUUUGGUUCAUUUAAAUUCUCAGCUUGAAUGACAACUAGAACACCAGGGGUUGUGCCUUCUUGACUCCUGUAUCUCCCUGCAUAACUCUUCCCAAGCUCUAGCAGAGUGUGUCUUUUCCACUGGACUACUGAUAAGAGCUAUUGACUUUUGUGAAGCAUGAUCCUAAUUAGUCUUAUCAAUAAAAUCCAGGAGUCAGAUAUCAGGGUAAAAGCUGAAAGAUUAGAAAAACAGAGCAGUAGCUCCCAGGGAGUUAUUAUGGCUCUCAAUCCUCGAACCAAAAUGGGGGGAGGGAGCAAGAUAUUGUCUCCACCCGCCUUUUAUUCCUGUCUCCACCUCCCCAGUGCUAGGAUUAAAGGUGUGAACCUCCCAGGUGCUGGGAUUAAAGGCAUGUACCACCACCACCUUUUUCUGUUUCUCUUUUAGACUGGUUCAAUCCUGUGUAGCCCAGGAUGGCCUUGAACUCCUGACCUUCCUGCUUCCUUCUCCCAAGUGCUGGGAUUAAAGGUGUGAGCCACCACUGCCUGGUCUCAAUAGUUUACCAGUAGCUAGCUCUACCCUCUGAUCUCCAGGAAAGCUUUAUUUGUCAGAACACAAAAUAUCAUACAACACUUUUAAUCUACUUUCAUGAUAGUAUAGAAACUGUAUACUUUGAUUAACCAUAUAGAAUUGUAAAUGCAAACUUUUUGGGCCCAGGUUGAAGAAUUUUGGUCUAUAAAACUGUGUGGAGGCUGACAAGAUGGCUCAGCAGUUAAAAGCACUUGCCACACACACACACACACACACACACACGCACACACACACACACACACACACACACACACACAAGCCUGGUGACCUGAGUCCAAUCCCUAGCACCUACCUAAUAAAUAAUAAAAUUUGUUUGAACUAAGGAUUGAAAAACAUGUAAUUCUUCUAUGAUAUUCUCUACCAUUUAGCUCUACACUAGUGCCUCAACUAUCUGAUGGGUAGUCGCUAGGUAUUUUUUUUAUGACACAGUGUAUGCCUCUCCUUUUACAAGGUAGGGUAAGAGACAGGUAACAAGGUUUUCUUAGAAUUGUGAUUUAGUUGAAUUGUCUCAUUUUUAUUAGGUUGAUACAGAUUUUUUUGUAUGUUUACUUUGUUCUCCUCAAUAUCAUUCUAUAACCUAAAGUAUGAUAUUCUUUAAAACAUUAUUAUUGAUUUUGUUUUGUUUACUUUGGGGCAAGAUCUCAUUGUAUAGAUCAGGCAGGCCACAGACUUAUAGUCCUGUCUUACUCUCCUAUGUGCUGGAAUUUUAUGUGUGGGCUAUUACAGCUAGCUUUAAAUAUUACUAUUAAAACAAACCAAUGAAAUUAUGAUUUUGAAAAAACAAAUCAAAAUCUGGAUUUCAAAAACCUAAAUUGUACUCAAUAGUAUCCCCUGUAUUCCUCACCCACGGUAACCUUCAGUCUUCAAGUUCAUAGAAUUAGAUUAAUCCUGGGUUCACCACUACCCCACUCAAAACUUAUCCAUUCAUCUAUCCAUACUACCUAUGAUAACAAACUGUUUUAUAGUUAGUAUUGCACUUGAUAUAAUGCAAUGUUCUGAAGCUAUUAUAAUUAACAAUAUUAACUAAUAGGGGCAAUGGUCUGGAAUGUUUUUAAACUGACCAGUGGAAAAGAACAGAGGCUCUAUAAUGGAUUGGUGUAACUGUGAGUUUGCAUCUGGAGGUAAUAUGGAAGAUCACUGGCAAAAAGAGAAACUAUUAAAUAAGCUGAGUCAGGAAGAAUAUAUAUGGAUUACCAGCAUCAACUAUAGCUGGAUUGAGAACUUAAAAGUCAAAAGGUAAACUUGAAAACUUCAAAAAAGAAAAUAUAGGUGAAUCUCUUUAAGUUUUUACAGUAAAAUAUAAAGUGCUAACUUUGAGAAGAUUGACAGAUUUGACUACUCUAAAAUUAAGAACUUGGGUUCAUCAAGUCAUUUCAUGAGCAAACAAAGCAAAGCUAAACCGAAGACAUGACUUGGGGGAAAAUUUUGGCAAUAGACAUCAUUGACAUGGAUCCAUAUAAAAAUGUGAAGAAUUCUCAUAAGUUAGAAAUGAUGAAUGCUCCCCUUUCUCCUGUUUCACAUAUGUGCCCCUGCUCUCUCAUUUCACAUUGGCUCUUGACUCCCUCAUUCAACCAACAAGAAGCAAGAAUUUACCUGAAUAAGCUCCUCAUUUCUGCCAGAGCGGGUACGUCUGCUCCUAUCAGCUUGGCCAGCAACAUCCCAGAAUUCCUCCUAGAGCCCAAGGCUCCUAAGAACCUUCCUGAGGAAGCCAUCUCACCAGUGCUCAUUCCCUCAAAAUUCAGAAAGAGUCAGUUAGAACCUGGUUGCUAUCUUUACAAACUAUUCUUGAGUUCUGGUUUCCCAGCUAUCCCACCUACCCUAUUACACGCCAACUUGCCUUCCAUGUAAGAACUCUAUGGCAUUUUGUUUCCAUGACCUUUGUUCUUCUUGGCUUUUCCAUCCCUUAGCUAAACACCAAGGUUAGGGUUGUGAUAUUAUCUAGUGAGUGGAAGUCUAUUUCAUGGACUGACUGCAAAAUAAAGAAUUGGCUCACUUUAGUAAUAACCUUCCAAAAACAGGACAAAGCAUGGCAGACUUCUCCAUAGAAGUAAAAAUAAAGAAAGGAGGGCAGCUCGAAUAAAUAAGUGCCUACCAGAGAUCUUAGACAAUUUAUGCAGACAUAUGGAAAAGACAUAAAAAUAUCAAUUUACAAAGAAAUUGUGAAGGAGGAAGAAAGCUAUGUAAACAAGCCAAAUGAAGGGAAAGUUACAUAUUAGAGUGAAGAAACAAUAAGCAGCAGGUUUCCAAAAACAUUUCAAACGGCCACAAAAUGAACAAAAUGAUGGCACAGAAUGAAGGUAAAUGACUGGACUAAUUAGGAUUAUGAGCAAGGGAUUGCUUAGGAGAGAAAAACCCAGAUGUGUUUAUGCCUCUUACUUGAGAAAUAGCAGGUGGAGGAAUACCUCUAUCAGGCAACAAUUUUCCCGGGACAACAGAUGUAGGCAGUUGGGGAAAAAAAAAGUUACCUGCAAAGAAAUUAGAGAAGACAGCAGUUCCAGAUCAGCUAUGCUCAUGACGGUUAUGAGAAAGGAACUGAGUGAUGGAGCACUGACUUAGACAUUUUAAGAUGCUGCCAGGGUCACAAGAAUUUCAGACUGUUCAGAAUUUAGCAAAGGUAGGAAAGUUUCUAUUCACUAAAGGUUAUAAAAGUUGAGCAGCAAUUUAAGUUUGGGUAUUUAAGGUCCUCCAACUUCUCUGUUUACUCAAAAACACUUCAUUGAAGGUGAUUAUUUGUAAAUUAUAACUUCACUCAAGCAUCACUCUCUUACAGAAGAAUACAGUCUAAUGAGGGGUCACUUGCUUUUUAAAUUGAGGCUGUUAAGUUACUCAUGCACCCAACGAUCCUAAUUAUAAAUCCAAGGUUGUGGACAAGGUACUUUUAUAACAUGAAUUCUAAUGUCAAUAUUUCAGCACAAUUACCUUACAUUUGCUUCUCAGGUGCCUAUGAUCAGACUUUUUUGUGUGCAAACAUACAUGACAACUGUUAUUGGGAAGUAAUUCCAUGUUGAGUGCUACAUGAAGCCUGGCUGCACUAGCUAGAAUUCGAUCAAAGCAGAAAGGAGUUUCCAAAUACAUCCUGCAUCCUGUAUGUAUAUGCAGUGAUGUGGACACAUCAGUAACUCAUUGUGCCACUGUGCAAGGCCUGAUGGAGAGGUCCACGCAAGUGAGAAGUGUGGAAGCUUUGCACUCUGAAGAUCUGGUUCUGAGUUCCAGCUUUGUCAUGUACUUGCUGAGUGAUGUCAGGGAAAUCAGAUUCUCUUCCACAUGCCUGGUUAAGUGGGGUCAGAGUUGAGUGUGAGGGUGGGGUGUUUCUUUAUACUCUGUGUAUGAGAAUUCAGUUGGAUCAAGGAAAUACUUCAAAAUCACAAACAACUAAAAUGAGGAUAAUCAAAGAAAAGGAAAACUGCCAGUGUUGAUGAUGCUGUAAGGAGAUAUUUGAUAUGUUUGAAGUAGAUUGAGGUUUGAUGACUGUGGUUGAGGGGAAGGUGAGAAGCUGCAGGCAACAAAUUGGGGGCGGCCUUUCCCAAGAAGUGUGCUGUGUACAUGCAAUCUAAAGUAGAAAAAGAGGUUCCCUUUUGUUGUUAUUGUUUUGUUUUGCUUUAUUGAGUUAGUCUCACUGCGUAGCCUGAGCUAACCUGGAACUCACCCCCCUCUUACUUACUCUGCCUCAUGCUGAGAUUACAGGUAUAUGCUAUCAUACCUGGCUCGACUAGGCUUUUAAACAGCAGACUGUAUCUUGUGUGAUUUUCACAUGCCACGGCCUACUCUAAGUCACUUCCGAGCAUAGUGUUGAGGACAAGGAAGUGCUUGAAAUACUACUUAUGUAGCAGUGACAAAGGAACAAACAAGACAAUGGCUUUAGGGAAACUGAAGAGAAGAGACAGUUUUCUGUGUUUCAGUUGGUUUUGAUUUGGAUAUACUGAUUUUUAAGAUUGCCUUGAAAUGAGUAGAGUGGCCAUAGAGAAGUGGUCAUUCUCUUAAAUGAUGGAGGCAGGCUAGAGGCCACAAAGCUAAGAACGCAGAGGAAUAUCCUGUAAGAAGCAAGAGAAAUGGACAUUAAGAAUACAUGGAGGUGGAUGUCUUGGAUAGGAAAAGAAAAAUUCUGAGGUGUGCUUUGUGGUGAGGAAGAACGAUGCUCCAUCACAUUCCACACUCCAGGAAUUCGAGAGUUAAGCCUUGCCUGCUGCCUAAGAGGGGGAGUUUGUGACUUGGAUUUAGCUGACUGCUAAAUUAAUGCGGGGGUAAGAAAUAGAUAGUUGCAAAGGACCUGGCUAGGGAUAUCAGGAUGUCAGCAGCAAUGAAAAGGGAAGACAGGAUGUGACCUACAGGUUAAGGAGAAGAGAGAGGGAGCUCUGAGUACGGUGUUCAGUUGUUCCUUCGUUCUGCGUGCAAGACAAAAAUGAUGUGCCGAUUCCCUCCCCCACCCAGCUCUCACCUCAAGUGACCCAACGUGAUGCUGCACUGUUUAAUUUCUUUAAAUGGAAGAAGUUAAGUGGGGAUCUGGGCAGAUAACUUUUAAAAAUUGCUUGCAAGAAAAAAGUUUUGAAAUAAAGUUGAGGAAACAAACAUGGUGAAUUUGGAAUCACUGAACACACACACACACACACACACACACACACA